ensembl:lncRNA
GGAUUUCUGAGGUACCGAAGAGAAAAAUCUCCAUUUCUUCAAGAGACAGAUUCAUUUGGCACCACUGCACUGAUGAGAACCCAAGCCUCUCAACAGGUCUUGUGGUCCCAGCUCCUCCUCUGUGCCCCAGUGCUUGUUGGACCCUCAUGAGAACUGGCUGCACUAACUAGUUCAGAAGAAAAACAGGAAGCAACACCUCAGGACUGAAAGGCAAUGAUCCCUAAGAGCUGCCCAGUGAAGCUCUACAUCAGUCCUCUCAGCCUUGUAAGACUGCCUUCAAUUAUUUUAAUACUGCCGUUCUUCUCGCUGCUUAUAUAAAUGUGCAUGUAUGAAAGCUUACAGAAUUUCUUUUUAAUGGUCACCUUUUUGUAUUCAAAUAUGACAACAGAA